rnacentral:rRNA from 1 species
UCAAAUUUGAAAUCUGGCCCCUCCGGGUCCGAGUUGUAAUUUGUAGAGGAUGCUUUUGGUGAGGUGCCGCCCGAGUUCCCUGGAACGGGACGCCACAGAGGGUGAGAGCCCCGUCUGGCUGGCCACCGAGCCUCUGUAAAGCUCCUUCGACGAGUCGAGUAGUUUGGGAAUGCUGCUCAAAAUGGGAGGUAUAUGUCUUCUAAAGCUAAAUAUUGGCCAGAGACCGAUAGCGCACAAGUAGAGUGAUCGAAAGAUGAAAAGCACCUUGAAAAGAGGGUUAAACAGUACGUGAAAUUGUUGAAAGGGAAGCGCUUGUGACCAGACUUGGGCGCGGCGGAUCAUCCGGGGUUCUCUCCGGUGCACUUCGCCGCGUUCAGGCCAGCAUCAGUUCGUCGCGGGGGAAAAAGGCUUCGGGAACGUGGCUCCUCCGGGAGUGUUAUAGCCCGUUGCAUAAUACCCUGCGGUGGACUGAGGACCGCGCAUCUGCAAGGAUGCUGGCGUAAUGGUCACCAGCGACCCGUCUUGAAACACGGACCAAGGAGUCGUCUUCGUAUGCGAGUGUUCGGGUGUCAAANCCUACGCGUAAUGAAAGU